rnacentral:rRNA from 1 species
UGGAACGAAAGUCUGAUGGAGCAACGCCGCGUGAGUGAAGAAGGGUUUCGGCUCGUAAAGCUCUGUUGGUAGUGAAAGAAAGAUAGAGGUAGUAACUGGCCUUUAUUUGACGGUAAUUACUUAGAAAGUCACGGCUAACUACGUGCC